CUUUCUUUUCUUCUUUCCUUCUUCUUCAGUGCCGUCCACUCCCUUUCUUUCUCCUCGCUACUUCAUCUCCAUUCUUCUUCUUCAAUCUGUCGGUUUGAGCUCCUUUUCUUCUUCUCCAUUUUAUUUUCUUCUUCUCUUGCUUCGCACCACCUCCUUCUUUCUCUUCAUUUUAUUUUCUUUUCAUUUGCUUUUCACUCGGCAAAAGCUGGUUGUGCCAAGAUUCUUGGUAGCUUCUUUAGCUUGUAAUCAAUAAUAUUUUCUUUUACCUAUAUAAAAAAAAAAAAGCUUCUUCAGCUUGUAAUAUUUGCAUUUUACUUUCUUGUGCUGGUUCUACAUUUUUUUUUGCUGAACCGAACUGUUCUUCUGCCCUCUUUGGAUUUUAAUUUUCGUUGCUUUUCCUUCAUUUUUGUAGGUCAAUCCGUAGGGGUCUUACUCUGUUUUGGCCCCAUUUUCUUGCUCGAUUUUCUCUCAUUUUUCCUCUUGUAUUUUUGGGUCCUAGAUUGUGUUUAAACUCUUGUUGUUUUUCGGUUGUUUGGGACCCAAAAUUGUAUCUUGUUCUAGCUCCAUUUUCAUGCUCUGUUUUACCCUUCCCAUGCCCUGUUUUGCCCACAUGACCGUGAGCUUCAUUUUCAGUUCUUGUAGAUUUUUGGUUCUAGCCAUGAACUACACUUCUAGCCGUUUUCUUCAAGAUUUAUUUCAGUAAAAAUCAGUCCCUUUGUUUCGAAAAUUUCCCUCAAAGUUUUGUUAUUUUUGAAACCCAUUUUAGUUCCAACCCCAAGUCGAGCUAACUUUUGGAAGUUAAAUCGGGUGCGUGAUCUUUCAGAAAUAUUGUCUUUAAAGCUUUGACUGAGUCCGAGGAGUUGGGGGGUCGGUUAGAAUGAAGAACAGAAUUAUUUGUGUGAUUGGAUGAUAUUGGAAUUUGUUGGAUAUUUUUGUAUCUUGUUGUAUGCAUUGCAUGGUGCACGCAUGUUCAUAUUUGUAAAAUGAAAAUUAGGUUUUUGCAUA